UACAGAGGUCCCGAGCGUUAGGCGGAAUCACUGGGCUUAAAGCGUGUGUAGGUGGAUCGGUAAGUACCUUGUGAAAUCCCACAGCUUAACUGUGGAACUGCUUGGUAUACUGCCAGUCUUGAGCCAGCUAGGGGCUACCGGAACAAAUGGUGGAGCGGUGAAAUGCGUAGAUAUCAUUUGGAACGCCAAUGGUGAAAACAGGUAGCUGGGGCUGUGCUGACACUGAGACACGAAAGCCAGGGGAGCGAACGGG
rnacentral:rRNA from 1 species